GUCCAUGCCGUAAACGUUGGGCACUAGGUGUGGGGUCCAUUCCACUGAUUCCGCGCCGUAGCAAACGCAUUAAGUGCCCCGCCUGGGGAGUACGGCCGCAAGGCUAAAACUCAAAGGAAUUGACGGGGGCCCCGCACAAGCGGCGGAGCAUGCGGAUUAAUUCGAUGCAACGCGAAGAACCUUACCAAGGCUUGACAUACUUGAGAAGCCACCAGAGAUGGUGGUCUCUUUGGACACUCAUGUACAGGUGGUGCAUGGUUGUCGU
rnacentral:rRNA from 1 species